rnacentral:tRNA from 1 species
CUUAGUUUGGCAGAUUUAAUGCGGUAAGUUUAGAUCUUAUUUAUGCCAGGGCAACUAAGA